UAGGAGUAACUUUUGGGAGGGCGAAUUUGUUUGAAACAGUGGAUGGAGGUUUGUUUUAUAUUUAGAGAGGAUGUCUACUCGAUACAUACUUGGAUAAGGAGAUCUCACAAAACAGUGGAGUUCGAUGAGCUAGAGUAGACUAUUUGUCGAGAUGUUAUUUUUGAACAAAGAAAUCAAUAAGUUCCAACUUGAUGAAUAUUUAUGUCUUGUAUAUAUGGAGAUGGUUUCUUUGUUUGUACCUGUGAAUGAAACUUCUGUACAUUUAUGGAAUUUAUUUUACAAUGAUUA